UGGACCGGUUCCCGUACGAUGACCGAACUUAAGCAAUGUCGGGCCUGGUCAGUACGUAGAUGAGUGACCGCUUGGGAAUAUCAUGUGAUGUAAG